GGAGGGUKCAAGCGUUAUCCGGAUUCACUGGGUUUAAAGGGUGCGUAGGUGGAUUGGUAAGUCAGUGGUGAAAUCUCUGGGCUUAACUCAGAAACUGCCAUUGAUACUAUCAGUCUUGAAUACCGUGGAGGUCAGCGGAAUAUGUCAUGUAGCGGUGAAAUGCUUAGAUAUGACAUAGAACACCAAUUGCGAAGGCAGCUGGCUACACGAAUAUUGACACUGAGGCACGAAAGCGUGGGGAUCAAACAGGAUUAGAUACCCUGGUAGUCCACGCCCUAAACGAUGGAUACUCGACAUUUGCGAUAAACUGCAAGUGUCUGAGCGAAAGCAUUAAGUAUCCCACCUGGGAAGUACGAUCGCAAGAUUG
rnacentral:rRNA from 1 species